ACGUAGGGUGCAAGCGUUAAUCGGAAUUACUGGGCGUAAAGCGUGCGCAGGCGGUUAUGCAAGACAGAUGUGAAAUCCCCGGGCUUAACCUGGGAACUGCAUUUGUGACUGCAUAGCUGGAGUACGGCAGAGGGGGAUGGAAUUCCACGUGUAGCAGUGAAAUGCGUAGAGAUGUGGAGGAACACCGAUGGCGAAGGCAGCCCCCUGGGUCAACACUGACGCUCAUGCACGAAAGCGUGGGGAGCAAACAGGA
rnacentral:rRNA from 1 species